UACGAAGGGGGCGAGCGUUGUUCGGAAUCACUGGGCGUAAAGGGCGCGUAGGCGGCCCUUCUUGUCGCGUGUGAAAGCCCCGGGCUCAACCUGGGAACGGCGCGCGAGACGGGAGGGCUGGAGUUCGGGAGAGGAGCGUGGAAUUCCCAGUGUAGAGGUGAAAUUCGUAGAUAUCGGAAGGAACACCAGUGGCGAAAGCGGCUUCCUGGUCCAGCACCGACGUUCAGGCACGAAAGCGUGGGGAGCAAACAGG
rnacentral:rRNA from 1 species